UGCUUUGGUUUGUGGACAUUUUGGCUACAUUUUUUUUCAUAAGUAUUCACGGCACCCUCAUAGCACCAUGCCUUAUCGUACAGACGCGAAGCCUGGGUUCGAUUCUGCAAAAACCGAAGUCUACAGGGGAAGACUCCUUGGCAGCUACGGGGCAGGGUAGUUUGCUCCUUACAUCUCGAGGAGUCAGCUUUCCUGCGCCUUGGACACCUCCGCCAAAAUGCGUGGCCAAGUUACCACAAAAAAGACGACACAUGGCAACAUUUUCAGCAAAAGCUCUCCGGGUUCAGCAGUCGUGCAUGAGGUGGGUUCGCCACCCUCAUCGAGCUACACAUGCUUCGGCAGUUAAGACUCACGGAGCUUCUGUAGUCACCCUGACGACCAGUCUUCCGAAAUGAA